rnacentral:rRNA from 1 species
UACGCCCGAUCUCGUCCGAUCUCGGAAGCUAAGCAGGGUCGGGCCUGGUUAGUACUUGGAUGGGAGACCGCCUGGGAAUACCAGGUGCUGUAAGAUU